GAUGAACGCUGGCUACAGGCUUAACACAUGCAAGUCGAGGGGAAACGACGGGGAAGCUUGCUUCCCCGGGCGUCGACCGGCGCACGGGUGAGUAACGCGUAUCCAACCUGCCUCUGACUGAGGGAUAACCCGUCGAAAGUCGGCCUAAUACCUCAUGGCAUCGUCUGCGGGCAUCCAACGACGAUUAAAGAUUUCAUCGGUCAGAGAUGGGGAUGCGUCUGAUUAGCUUGUUGGCGGGGUAACGGCCCACCAAGGCGACGAUCAGUAGGGGUUCUGAGAGGAAGGUCCCCCACAUUGGAACUGAGACACGGUCCAAACUCCUACGGGAGGCAGCAGUGAGGAAUAUUGGUCAAUGGGCGAGAGCCUGAACCAGCCAAGUAGCGUGCAGGAUGACGGCCCUAUGGGUUGUAAACUGCUUUUAUGCGGGGAUAAAGUGAGGGACGUGUCCUUCAUUGCAGGUACCGCAUGAAUAAGAACCGGCUAAUUCCGUG
rnacentral:rRNA from 1 species